rnacentral:rRNA from 1 species
CCUACGGGAGGCAGCAGUGGGGAAUAUUGCACAAUGGGGGAAACCCUGAUGCAGCCAUGCCGCGUGUGUGAAGAAGGCCUUCGGGUUGUAAAGCACUUUCAGCGAGGAGGAAAGGGUGUAAGUUAAUACCUUACAUCUGUGACGUUACUCGCAGAAGAAGCACCGGCUAACUCCGUGCCAGCAGCCGCGGUAAUACAGAGGGUGCGAGCGUUAAUCGGAAUUACUGGGCGUAAAGCGUGCGCAGGCGGUUUGUUAAGCGAGAUGUGAAAGCCCCGGGCUCAACCUGGGAACCGCAUUUCGAACUGGCAAACUAGAGUCUUGUAGAGGGGGGUAGAAUUCCAGGUGUAGCGGUGAAAUGCGUAGAGAUCUGGAGGAAUACCGGUGGCGAAGGCGGCCCCCUGGACAAAGACUGACGCUCAGGCACGAAAGCGUGGGGAGCAAACA